ACUUCUAAAUAUAUCUUUCACAUCAGUCUAUGCUCUGAAACAUAAAUCACGGAAGCUAAAAUGUGUCUCUUAUGAACAUAAUUCUGAGAAAUCUAAGAACAAAGAUGGAUGAUUAGGGAAAAAAUUAACAGGAAUUAAAUGUGAAGGAGAAACCAAAGCAAGCUGAUGAGAAAUAAAAACUUCGGGGGAAACAAGGUAACAUACC
rnacentral:misc_RNA from 1 species